rnacentral:rRNA from 1 species
CCCUACGGGGCGCAGCAGUCGCGAAAACUUCACAAUGGGGGCAACCCCGAUGAGGGAAUUCCUAGUGCUAGCACAUUUGUGUUAGCUUUUCUCUAGCGUAGAUAACUAGAGGAAUAAGGGCUGGGAAAGACGGGUGCCAGCCGCCGCGGUAAUACCUGCAGCCCAAGUGGUGGUCGAUUUUAUUGGGUCUAAAACGUUCGUAGCCGGUUCGAUAAAUCUUUGGGUAAAUCGGGGGGCUUAACCUUCCGUCUUCCGAGGAGACUGUCGAACUUGGGACCGGGAGAGGCUAGAGGUACUUCUGGGGUAGGGGUAAAAUCCUGUAAUCCUAGAAGGACCACCGGUGGCGAAGGCGUCUAGCUAGAACGGAUCCGACGGUGAGGGACGAAGCCCUGGGUCGCAAACGGGAUUAGAUACCCCGGUAGUCCAGGGUGUAAACGCUGCAGACUUGGUGUUGGAAGCCCUUUGGGGGCAUUCAGUGCCGGAGAGAAGUUGUUAAGUCUGCUACUUGGGGAGUACGUCCGCAAGGAUGAAACUUAAAGGAAUUGGCGGGGGAGCACCGCAACGGGAGGAGCGUGCGGUUUAAUUGGAUUCAACACCGUAAAACUCACCAGGGAAGACU